rnacentral:lncRNA from 10 species
GAUUUUUCGAAGAACACUUCUCAGAUCUCUACUAACUACUUGCUUUCCUGGUCUCCUGGGUCCUGGCAUCAUGGGUCCAGACUCCCCCUACUCCUAUAAACCUUUUUUGGGCAGAGUAGGGUGGGAGAGUCCGCUUGGAAUUGCUAUGCUCCCUCCCAGAAAGCCCCAUAUGUGUUUGGAAGAAGGGUAGCACCUUCAGACCACACUUUCUAGACAACCUAAGCAGGUGUAGGGGUCUGAACUUCACCUCUGGAAAAAUGUCACGGUGCCUAUCUGUAUGCAGCCAGAGACCCGUUGUGUUCUUCCCCAUGGUUCCCAAGGUUUCAAGCUGCAACCAGCUGCUUCUAGAGUGUGUGAGCGCUGGACAGGGAGUCAGGAGGCCUGGGUUCUAGAUCCUGGGCUGCACUAAGUCCCAGUGUGACCUUGGGUUGUGACCUUCUCUGGGCUUCUGUCUCCUUCUGAUGUGUUGAUGACGUCAGUGGUCCCAUGUAGUGGGACCUGGGGACUGCAACUUAAGGUAUUGGCAGGUAGGCAGGGCCUUGGGCUGUGGUGGCCCUGGGUGGUGGGGACCAGGGAGAGCAGCUGUCCAGCUGCCCAGUAACUCAAGUUCCCUGACAUCGCUGUCAACAUUGUCUCCUGCAGCUCAGCCCUGGAUGGCUGCCCUUCCUGGAAACCUUAGGAUACCUCUGCUGGCUCCAGCUGCCCCCUCCCUGUGAGUCAGCUCCUUCAAGCCACAGCCCGCCAGAUGGCUUCCAAGGCACCAAGGAUGCAGCUCCUGACCUGAUGCCUCUCAGCUCCAGGACUUCCCAGGACCCCUCAGCUGCCCUGGACCCUGCUGCUACUGCCGUCACCUCUGCACCUUGUCCCCAGCUGGGCUGCUGACUCAGAUAUGCCAGGCUCCUAUGCUAUCAUUUCAACUCCCAGGCUCAGCUCACUCCAGGAGCCUAGUUGGAGAAUGGAUUUCCCCAGCUGAAGGACGCUUCAGCUAUACCAGUGGAGAAACGGAGGCACAGAGUCCGUGAAUGGUCUAAGGACACAUGCACCCAAAAUUGAGGCCCAGGCAGGGCUCGCCUCUUCCAUGAAGCCUUCCGUGACCACUGUAGAUGGCAGCGAUGCUUCCUUCCUCCAUAUUCUGCCAGGAAAGGAAGAGAAACAGCAAGGAAAAGAAUGAAACAAGAACUGUCCUCUGUGCAUGGGGCUGAGCCCCAUUCCUAUGCUGAUAUGAUCUCUCACUACAGCCUUGCCAGGUAGACAUAGCUGCUCUCGCACAGAUGAGGAAACAGCAUAAAGACGUUAGAUGUUAAGUGACCUGCUGCUCAAAGCCACGGGCCUGGGGUUGGGAGCGGACUCAGCACUUUUGUGCGAGGAUCUAGUGCCUGGUAGAAGGAAAUGUUCCGCAUAUUCUCAGACAAGUCCCUUCCUCUCUCUUUCUCAGUCUUUCCACCUGUAACAUGAGCUCAAUCAGAGGUAAACUGUGCCCUAUAGAUGGUCUAGGGCGAGGGGAAGAUGGACCCCCUGAAAUUGUAUGCGUGUGACAUUGAGGCACAAAGGCCCAAGCCCUUCAUGAUUUGCAAAGAGAUCUCUGACAUUGUCUGUUUUGGAUUGGAGAGGACCAGCUGAGGGAUGUGUUUUGAGAAGCAUGAAUGACCAAAUGAAUUCAAUAAAUACGUAGUGAAUAUCUAAUCUGAC